rnacentral:rRNA from 1 species
UAUCUGAUCCUCUUUUAGAGGUGACGAUAAUGGAAUGAGCGGCGGACGGGUGAGUAACACGUAGGCAACCUGCCUGUAAGACUGGGAUAACUCGUGGAAACGCGAGCUAAUACCGGAUAACACUUUUCAUCUCCUGAUGAGAAGUUGAAAGGCGGCUUUUGCUGUCACUUACAGAUGGGCCUGCGGCGCAUUAGCUAGUUGGUAAGGUAAUGGCUUACCAAGGCGACGAUGCGUAGCCGACCUGAGAGGGUGAUCGGCCACACUGGGACUGAGACACGGCCCAGACUCCUACGGGAGGCAGCAGUAGGGAAUCUUCCGCAAUGGACGAAAGUCUGACGGAGCAACGCCGCGUGAGUGAUGAAGGUUUUCGGAUCGUAAAACUCUGUUGUUAGGGAAGAACAAGUGCCAUAGUAACUGAUGGCACCUUGACGGUACCUAACCAGAAAGCCACGGCUAACUACGUGCCAGCAGCCGCGGUAAUACGUAGGUGGCAAGCGUUGUCCGGAAUUAUUGGGCGUAAAGCGCUCGCAGGCGGUUCUUUAAGUCUGAUGUGAAAUCUUACGGCUCAACCGUAAACGUGCAUUGGAAACUGGGGAACUUGAGUGCAGAAGAGGAGAGUGGAAUUCCACGUGUAGCGGUGAAAUGCGUAGAGAUGUGGAGGAACACCAGUGGCGAAGGCGACUCUCUGGUCUGUAACUGACGCUGAGGAGCGAAAGCGUGGGGAGCGAACAGGAUUAGAUACCCUGGUAGUCCACGCCGUAAACGAUGAGUGCUAGGUGUUAGGGGGUUUCCGCCCCUUAGUGCUGAAGUUAACGCAUUA